rnacentral:lncRNA from 1 species
GGUGGAGGAACUGCAUGUUCUGGUGUCCCGUGGGAGUUGUGUUCAUCAUCAGAACCAGUAUCCGCAUUGCUACCACUGGUUCCACCAUAACUGCGAUCUUCAUCAACCUCCAUGUACUCAUUCCUGUCCAAUUCAUCAGGAUCACUAUCUCCACUAAAGGAUCUAACGCGUUCAUCAGAAGACCUGACCCUAUUUCCCACUGAACCUUCUCUCCUCAGUUCCAUGUACUCAUUCCUUGUGAAGCUGUACUUAUUCUUGUGAUUUCUGAAGGGGUUGUACUUUUUCUUGUCAGGUGUUUGAAGUUGGACAAUUUUUAAGCUAUGUAGCAGUGUUUUACAUGGUUAUUUGGCUGUAGUUUGUGCGUUUAUUUGGCUGGACAAAACCUGUUAUGGUAUAUUGGCUCUUAUGAAUGUUGUUUCAUAUGGAAUUAGACUGUAGUUUGUGUAUUUGUUGACUGCAGCCCUGGAGUUUGUGUUGUAUGGAUCAUGGAUGUUAUGGUCUUAUUUGUCUUGGAUGAAAUGUGGUUAGAGUUUGUGUAUUGUUGAAUGUGAAUGGCAUUGGUUGCCAAUCCUAAUAUUUUUUGUUGAUUUUGGAUAGCCUAAAUCUGGAUAUGUUGGAGCAGGACUUCGUAAAUAACUGAUUGUUGAAUUUUGAAAUCGAGCCUCAAAAUCGAGUCUCGAGCUUCGAACUCGAGUCUAAAAUCAAGCCUCGAGCCUCGAACUCGAGCCUUGAGCUCGGAUAGAUAUUUCGAGCUCGAGCUCGAGCUCGUCCGAGCCUGGCUCGUUUAUGAUAAACGAGUCGAGCUCGAGCUCGAGUUCGAGUCACAUUUCCUUUUUUCGAGUCGAGUUCGAGUGCGUAUUAUGGCUCGUUAGCGCUAUCGAGCGAGCUCGAGUUUGGCUCGAAUUCGUCACGAGUCGAGCUCGGCGUUCAGAUACUCGGCUCGACUCGGCUCGAUUAACAGCACUAUCAGUUUUUAACUUUUUAUAGAAAAGCGAUGUCGUAUUAACUUAGACAAGUGACCUGCACAGCGGAUCUGGUGUCCCAUAGUCACGGUCACUUAUCAUUCAUCCUCUCUGGGAAUAAAGCCUUGAGAAAAUUUGGAAAACGGCAAAAGGAAAAUUCAGAAUAUAUACCAAUGGUGUUUUUUUUUUUUUUUUUUACUGACGGAGUAAGUGUCCGAGUCAAUUUUUACAAGGUCCGACUAAUCUCACUCCGGUCUGGGAGGAGAGACUCCAUCCUCUCGAACACGAUAAUCACAAGACUCGAAUCCUUGCGGACACUGGACACCAGCUUCCAAGGAGGCUCGUUGAGACCAACCGAGUUACUCAUGAGGGGCAGAUAAUUUGAUGGGAGGCAAGGAUUGAAUUCCUGACCUCCCACCCCACCAGGAGGGUGGUGGCCAGUGGUUAUAUACCAAGGGUGUUAGUUUCGAGAAAUUCGUGAAUAGGAUAUCGGUUACUAUUCAUUCACGUAUUAAAAUAACUACAAAAAAUUCAUAAACUUCCUUCUAUCUUGACUUCCCAAUCAAUGCAAUAGUGAUAGCUCCAUUGAGUUUCUUUAAAAGGGAAAGGUAUGACGGGAAGGCAAGUUAAAGAGUGUGGCAAUAUAACCCUCAUUGUAAAGUGAGGUUAAAGAGACCGCCCAAGGCUACAAAUUUUCAAGUGUUCAAAAACAUCUAACCAUAUAAUAAUGGUUAAAUUGCAGUGAUCGAAAAUUCCGUCAUCUAGAAUUAUUGCAUGAAUAGCCAAUGCUACUACUAUAUAUUCAGUCAAUUUUCUUUUCAAAAGAUAUUUUAAUUUCGUGCAUGUAUGAAUUGAGCAGUGGUUGGUGAACUGGCUAGUUUCAACUUUCGACCUUUAAAUGGACUGCACGGGGCAGAUACUGUAUACAUGGCCAGCUCCUGUUCCUAUCUUCAUCUGAUCUUCUUCUGCCUAAUACUAGUUCCUUCAUUGCUAUCAGUAAUGCCUUCUUAUCAUUGUGUUGAUCCACCUCCGCUACAAGAUUAUUGCAUCGCGAAUUUAAGCUCAAACAUGAAUUUGAAUGGCUAUCCUUGCAAGAAUCCUUCUGAUGUAACUUCAGACGACUUCUGCUACAAAGGUUUCUUGAAUGACAACAAAGUGUUCAAUAUCUAUGGGCUGAGCAUCAGCCAAGCAACAGUUAAUAAUUUCCCGGGGCUAAACAGUCUUGGAAUAUCCAUGAUUCAAGCGGAGCUGCUCAAAGGAGGAGGCAUACACCCCCACGGGCAUCUGAGCCAGUUGUAUGCACGAAGGGGAGAAUCCUUGAAGGCUUUGUGACAACAGAUAGCGCUUUCUUGUACAAAAUUUUGAAGCCCAAAAUGGUGUUUGUGAUCCCUCAGGCGAUGUUGCACAUGGUAAUUAAUGUUGGAAAAGGGAAUGCCCUCCUUUAUGCAAAGCUUCAACAGUCAAAAUCCAGGUCUCUCUUCAAUUCCACUCCUUCAGUUCCUGAUGCUGCCUUGAGCAAAUCAUUUCGAGCAAACGAUUCCAUCGUUGAAUUCAUCAAGUCCAACAUCAAUGUUCCACUUAUUCCGUCAUGAUCAUGUUUUGGAUCAAGUGCAAAUACAUACCAUCGUAUAUACUUAUAAUGCUUGCUCCUGUAAGAUAUAUUCGUGCGCGCACACAUAUAUUCUGUAUGUACGUAUGUACGCAUGAAUGUAUAUGUAUUCUUAUGUACUGCAACAGCUAGAAUAUAAAUAAAGGUCAAUUUCUUAUGUAUCUAAGCAUGUGAUUAGAAUUUCUUUUGCUAUGUGGCAGCAAUUCAAGUGUAAGACGUCUGAAUUGCAGAAAUGAUACCUUUCAUAAGUGCUCUGAUCAACCAAAAAAAGAAAAGAAAAAGAAAAACUUUCAUGACACUAAACCGUCAUUAUUGGAGCAUAAAUCCCCUGUCCAAAAAGUUUGAUCUUGUCCUCUGGCAACACUUGCAACAACAAUCUCUAGAAUUAUAUGUCAGGUUCAAGAACUUAACAGAAUUUAUUUACGUCAAAAAAGUUUUUAUAGUAUUAUGUAGAGAGGCCUCCUACUAAAUAUCAGUUGCACUGAAAUUAAGGUUCUAGAUAAACUGUUUACUGAAACAGAAAUUAAAAAGCAUCCUAGUAUAAAGAUAAUCGAAUUUUUUUCAUUUUUCGUCCAACUCCGAAUAUAUAGUAACAUGAUUAUAGAUAAAUGGUCUCACAUACAUUAUAAAAAUAUAUAAUUUGUAGUAAAAAUUCACAUGCAGUGAGAGAACAAGAAAAUAUCAAUAUGAAAACAAAACUUCAUAAAAAUUGUUGAUAUAUCUGCUUCAAGGAACCGAAAACAGAAAUCACUGUAAAAUCACACCAAACUAAACGCGCAAAGGAGUCUGAAAACUAUACAAUUGAAACAGUCUGAAACAAAAAUAGGUAGUCAAUCCCAGGGGCUAGCUAGUCGAAAACUAGUUCUAUAUAUGUUAUUGCAUCAGACAAAUAAAUGAACUUGAAUUUGAAUUACUUUUGUAUGCUCCCAUGUAAGGCAUGCUUCACAUAUGUUCUACUGGAAUGAAACAUCGCCAUUCUUCAGAAAUCUUGAAUAAUUGCAGUCAAAUUGUUCUAAUCACCACAAUGUAGUACGAGAUUCUUCACACCCCAUUUCUCUUCAUCUGCAAAAACCUAAACCCAUAACAGCAAGUUCAAAACCGAAUCAAUAAUUUUUUUUUUUUAAAGAGAAAUAAAAGACCAACCUUACCUAGGUAUUUAUCUAGCUCAGCCAUGUGCCUCAUUCUUCAUCCGCAAUUGUUGUGGGCUAAAUUGUAUACUAUCAAUGGGUGAAACCAAACUCUCCACAUAUGUAAUAGCAUCCGAAAGCAUUCCAUUGUUAACAUUGUGUGUUUUGACAAUUCUUGGAGUGUUCCCGUUGAAAUAGUACCUUUGCAAGGUCUUUUGAUCAACAUCCACAAUUAAAUCGCCAUUCCUUAAAGUUCCUAAAGGCCUCAAAAUAUUGGAAUUGGCUUCAAAUCCUUCUAACUGAAUCAAAUUAGUCCAAUAAUAUUGUCCCAAGUUACACUCUUUCAUCGUCCAUAUCUCAAAAUUCUUAUAGGGCUUACAAAUUGCACAAAGGCUUCCGUCCAAAACCCCCAAGGUAAAACUUGCAUUCCCUCUGAUGAUAUCGGGUGCUGGUAUUCCCCUAACUUCCGCGUUUGACAAAUUGUAUGAAACCACAAUGUGCCUAUUCUGCAAGCAUGGCCAAUAAACAUUACCGUUGAAAUAGGUACCCCUCCUCUCGAAAGCUCGAGUUGGACGUAUUACUUCGUCCUUGUGCUUCCUCCAGUCGUACAAACCUUCAUAUGGGCUCAAUUCGUAGAUUUUGUGGUACUUGCGAUGGCUGGAUACAAGCAAUUUGUAGCCAUCAGACAUGCAGUCACCGCCGAACCAAUAGAAGCCAAGGUCAGCAUGGCUAAAAGGCAAAGGUGAAGUCACUAACUCUUGGGAAGAUGGAUUCCAUAUGAUAAUGGAUUUGUCCUUAACUCCACUCAACAAACAUAUUAAUCCAUCACAUGAUCCUAUAAUUUCCAGAUAAAACGGGGACAUCUCCCUCGGAUAACGAAGAGGUUUGUCAAUGAUUUUAUUGCAAUAUUUUCGCUCAACAUGGAAGCCAAAGUAUCUGUAAUCAAUAGUGGUCAAUGGAAAAAUUAAGAAAACUCGAUGAUGGUUUUGCUCAGGAUCUGCUAUUGAAAGGUCUAGGUGACGGCGGAUGAAACGGGAACUCGAGAUUAGGUCGUGCCAGCCAUUACAGACGCACUUGAAUCUAGAAAGAGCCUUGACAUCAAGCCUAAGGAGAAUUUUUUCACAAAGAACUAGUGGGAGUUUGGUCCGCGCUUUUUCUUCUGUCUUUCGUAUUUUUCUGUCGGCGUCUUCCAUGAAGAUGCGCUCUUUUUUUUUUCACAAACCCUAUACCUGAACGGUUUUUCUCCUUGUUUUGCUUUGUUUUUUUGUUGGGAGGGGGGGGGGGGGUAGGUAAAGGACUCCUCGUUUUAAUGAUUUGUUUAUAUUGAUUCUAUGGACUCCCAAAAAUAUUUAUUAGAUUCUUACACUUCUCAAUUUUAGAGAUGUUUCCUUAAACUUCACACUUUCUAUUCAUCACCAUAACUUAUAACUUGAAGGAUAUACGUGGAGUAUUUGUCCCUUUUAAGGUACUGAAAUCAGGGUCCUAUAGAUAUAUUGAACAACUAAAAGGGAGGUACGUGUAACCUUGUAAAUUUACCUGGAGGGAACUGUUUGUAGUUGUGAUAAAGCCCAAUAGAGGUUUGUGUACUUAUCCCUUGUUUUCAUUGGUUGUCGAAGUAGUUUGAGCUCCACAGAAUUCAACUUAGAUAGGUUUUCUUCAAGUAGCUGCUGAUUCAAGUAGUGAAGGAUCCUAUCUAGGACUGUCAAUGGAGUUGGGUCAGCCUGAACUCGGCUAGUUCGGUCCGACAAAAAGCCCAAUGAACCCGACCAUUUAGUGAGCUAGUCUGAGUUUGAGUCUAAAAAUUAGACCCGAAUUAAAUAUAAGCCAAGAUUGGGUCUUAUUAAACUCAAAUCCGAUAUAGGAUUAUAUAUCCAAAUAUAUUAUUACUAAAUAUUAAAUAUAUAUAUAAAUUACAAAGCACAAAAAUACAUUUAAAAACUCUUCCAUGAGCUUCUUGAGAACCAAUAUUAGUAAUAUAUAACUAAAUCUUUAACUUUUCUUAUUGGUUGAGUAAAUUUUUGUAUUGGCAUAAUAUUGUUUGAUUUCUUUUUGGUCUACAAACACAAAUCAUCAAGCAUAUUUGGAUUUAAAUCACAAGAUUAUAAAAAAAGUUUCAACUUUUAAAGGUGUCUUGGUUUAUGAUCGCAUGUUUUGUUACUAUUUUUCAUGCAUUUUGAACAAAUUAAAUAUAAAUAUUGUUGAAAAAUUUUUGGUUUACAUAGUUUUUAAGAACUAUUAUUUGUUCAUGUUUAGUGUUAAUAUUAUAGUCUUAUAAAUGUUAAAUUAGUUUUACAACUUAAAAGUUUUAGUAAUUAUAUUAAGAAAAUUAAGGAGUAAUAAGUGAGUUUGGAUUAAGCCCGAUUAAGGCUCAUAACCCGAAUAUUGUGUGAGUUGAAUAUGAGUUUCACAUUUAUGAAUUCGAAACUCAUAGCUCGAAACCCGAAAAUGUUUCAAAUUAAAUGAGCUGAACUUGAACAUAUCGAAACCCGACCCAUUAGGCCUGAUUCACAGGCCUAAUCCUAUCCAAAGAAAAAGUAGUUCAAUACUUGAGUAGUUCAGUUGAUAUAUAUGUCAAGUUUAACUCAAUUCUCCAUUAAACUUGAUAAUUUAUAGCAAACCAAAUUUCUUUGAAUCGCUUUUAGAUUAUUUUGAUAUGCAUGCCCAUUACAUAAUCAGAAAAUAUUACUCACAAAUUUCUGUACUUUGGAAUAUAAAUCAAAAAAAUUUUUUUUUUUGAGUUUGUUCUCGCCCCAUUGGGUAUGGAGGUUGUACUAAUCCAAGUUCGGAUUCACAAUACUGCUAAAUGUUUGUGAAGAACUUCCUUCCCACUUUCUCAAGAGGAAAUUUUAUUAUUUGCCGGCCUUGUGCGUAAUGCUGCCAUAUUAUUCUGACAAAAUAGUACACUAUAAUAGCUGUUUUUUUAUUGCAUCUGUAGGAGACUGGGGGCCGAGUUUUUGUUCCUUAAUUGGUGACGGAAAAUUAAUUACAAGAUAAAAAAUGGAGUUCCAAAUUAAAAACUUUUGAAUGUAAAUGUCAUUAGAAAAUAUAAAUAUUGUUAAUUCAAAUAAAAAAUAGAACACGGGAACUAAACUAAUUAAGAUCUAUAUGAAACUGAGAGUAAACAAGAGCUCCAUUGGUAACUUUCAAUUUUCCAUUGGCCAAGUUACUAAAGCUUGAGGAACAAAGUUGGCACGUUAUGAUACUAAAGAUGAACGAUUAAACAAGAGCUCCAUUGUUUUUUACAGUGCUGCUAUGGCUUCCUUAACUUUUUCAGUUAGGUUUCCUCAAUUAGUGGUCAAAACCCCUAAAUUGCUCAAAUUUUUUUUUUUUUUUUUUUAUAAAGAUAAGGAACUAAAUGGGUUGAUGAUGAAAAAUGACACAUUGGUCAAGACGAGAAAGAGGAAACAAAAUGGUCAUUUUCCUUUGAUAAGCUACCUCCAGGUAUAUAGGCCAAAGAUAUUUGGUCUUACAUUUAGGCCUCCAAAGAUCAUAAAUGCAAAAUAGUACUCCAUAUCCAUCUAUUCUCCCUCAUGCCAAGCUACCUUCAAGUGGAAUCCAAGAAAAACAAAUAGAAUUGACCAGGGAAAAAAGAGGAAUAUACAUACAUAUAUAUAUAUAUAUAUAUAUAUAUAUAUAUCAACAUAAUUAAAAAUUUCACUUCUAUUCCGUUCAUGGAUUGCGUCCUCUUUCUCUGUCUUCGUCCAAUCAUACAAGCUUAGAUUAAUCUUUUUUUUUUUUGAAGUUCCACUCGGUCCCCUUGGAACUUCAAAGAAAAAAUUAAGAAGAUCGAUGCCAAGGAGUUAGCAGGAAGUUUCUGGUAAAACUAGAUUUAGCAAUCAAGUUCAUAUGUAUUUCUUGAAAAUGAAACGGUGACUAAUGUCUUUCCGGAAGUAAAACAAUUUAUUCAUUACUAGCUUGCUUUUCAAUACAAGAUACAUGGCUGCUUUCUCCCUCUCAAGAUCAGGUAGAGAUUAGAGGCUGGAAGACUGGAGAGAUCGAUGCAGGUGACCACAGAACUACAGGGAAAACAAAUGGAAAUUGAACAAAAUGAAGACUUAGAAGUUUUUGGCCUUCAGUUGGGAUUAGUGGGAAAACAUAUCCCAUAAAAAUUAGAUCCACCGGAAAGCAUACAAUACAUGCUUCCGUCACAGUUCUUACAAUCAUCCCACUCAUAGUAGGAUGCUUGUGCUAUGCAUUGAGAUCCAAGCUGACACAGUGAGCAAUCCAGUGGGUCUCCAAAGCUCAUACAUUGCCCAUUAACGCCCAGCAUCGUCAUUUUUUGGGAGAUCUUAGGAGCUGCAAAACAAAUUAUACAAUGAACUGGAGUUAAUUAGCAGUCAUGAUAUAUAAAGAAACUCUGGAUUAUAAAGCAAAGUUUGUUUGCUUUAACUUGCAAAAUGUGUCUUAAAACAAGACAGGAAGCAAUCUCAAAAAUUGAAGAAGCAGAGCGCUAGAGACUAACAAGCAACAGAGAGCAACAAGAUUGCUAUGACAAAGAGAGAAAAUGAAGGUUUUCUCGUCAUCUUUUUCUAGUUUUUCUUUUUUCUUCUCUUCACUCUUCUUUUGUGAAUCUGCACUUUUCUAUGGUGGAUCUACAUAGGGAUGACUGGCUAUAUAUAAAGUUUUUUUUUUUUUUUGAGUUGGCAAAGUUGACUUUCAAAUGCAGGAGUAAAAUUACCGUCAGGCGUGGCAAAAUUGCUAGUGGAAUUUUAUCAUUACAGCUAGAGCUGUUAAGCGUAACGAGCUACUCGAAAGCUCGUUAAGGCUCGGAUCGAUAAGGCUCGAGAUCGGCUCGUUAAUUUCAAUUAACGAGCCGAGCUCGAGCUCGAUAAAUACUCGUUGAGUUAUCGAGCCGAGUAAGCUCGAACUCGAUUCUUUAUCGAGUAGCUCGGUUGAGCUCGACAAAGAAGGGUAUUUGUGUCAUUUUAGCAGUCAACAAGUAGAAAUUUGGACUAGGGUUGAUAUUGCAUCGUCUCAUACUCUCAUUCUUCAUUUCUGCCUCUCCCUCUCCGCUGCACGCCGCACCCAGUAACCCACAGCCGCACCCAGUAACCCACAGCCGCACCCACAGGCCACAGCCCCGCAACGCCGCAGCUCCGCAACCCUGCAACCCUGCAGCCCGGAUCUGGAUCAACCCUGCAACCCCGCAGCUCCGCAACCCUGCCAGCCCCGCAACACCGCAACCCGCAACCAGUAACCCACACAGCCGCACCCAGCAACCCCGCAGCCCCGCAACCCCCGCAACCCCGCAGCCCCGCAACCCCGCAGCCCCGCAGCCCUCGCAACCCCGCAACCCCGCAGCCCGCAACCCCGCAACACCGUAACCCCGCACUCCACAGCAAGCCGCACUCCACAGCUGCAACCCACAGCAACCUCUGCCUCCACUGCCGCCCACAGCCUCUGUUUUCUGCCAUUAACAACCCCGUCCACGGCCAGGGCCAAAACCAGUCCAAUUUGACUGGUUUCUCUAAUCCUUCGUGAUAUUUGGUAAGUCUCGUCUCUUUUCGUAGGUUAAUUGUACUGAAUGACAAGAGUUCAUUCUUGUCUCUUUUCUGGUUUAGUAGCAGUUGGUAAUGUAGUAGUUGACACAUCUCAUAUGUACAAGGAUGGAUCAACAAAUUUUCUUCUCGCGUGAGGACUGCAUCCAACCUCUUUGUUUUAUUCCUUUCUGCAAUAACUUGCAGUUCAAUCAUAGAAAUUUAAUGUGGAAAAUCUAGAUUAUGCUUAUUAAUAUCUGAUAAUUUUAAAGAGUACUCGAAAAGAUAACGUCUGAGUUUUUGCAGUAGUUUUACCUUUUCUUCAUGGAUUUCUUGGGGGGAUGGGGUGGGGAAGCAAGAAGUGUUCUGCUUGUGGGUAUAAUCUGCUGCUAAAUGUGCCUAUAAAUCUUUUCUAAAACUUAAUUAUUAGUACAAUUAGAUAUUGCACUUCAAUAUCUGGAGGAUUGAAAGGGAAGAAAAUAAGUAUGGUUGAUUAAGACUUCUUAUUUGUGAAAUUUGAGAAAAAAGAUGUAAGGAUGUUAACCUUGAUAUCAAAAAAGCCUUACGGACUUAAUUUGGACAGCAUACUUCUUUUUUUUUGGGUAAAUUUUUGAUCUUUUGAAUGAAACAUGUCAAUGUUCGUGAGCUAACUGUUGCACUAUCACAGGGAUUGAUUGGCCUUUCAUUUCAUUUCAUUUCAAUUUCAAAGUGUUUGAUUAGUUUGAUAUUUUCGUCUUGGGGCCAUUUAUGUGUGUGUGAAUUGAGUUAAAUGAAUUGUUGAAUGAAUAAUAUAGGCACUACACCAUAUGUGCCUUCAUCUAUUUUGUUCAGCCUCUCGAACUCAUCAACACUUUUACAACCCUGAAGCAUGUUCACGGCCCUUGGUGGAGGAACUGCAUGUUCUGGUGUCCCGUGGGAGUUGUGUUCAUCAUCAGAACCAGUAUCCGCAUUGCUACCACUGGUUCCACCAUAACUGCGAUCUUCAUCAACCUCCAUGUACUCAUUCCUGUCCAAUUCAUCAGGAUCACUAUCUCCACUAAAGGAUCUAACGCGUUCAUCAGAAGACCUGACCCUAUUUCCCACUGAACCUUCUCUCCUCAGUUCCAUGUACUCAUUCCUUGUGAAGCUGUACUUAUUCUUGUGAUUUCUGAAGGGGUUGUACUUUUUCUUGUCAGGUGUUUGAAGUUGGACAAUUUUUAAGCUAUGUAGCAGUGUUUUACAUGGUUAUUUGGCUGUAGUUUGUGCGUUUAUUUGGCUGGACAAAACCUGUUAUGGUAUAUUGGCUCUUAUGAAUGUUGUUUCAUAUGGAAUUAGACUGUAGUUUGUGUAUUUGUUGACUGCAGCCCUGGAGUUUGUGUUGUAUGGAUCAUGGAUGUUAUGGUCUUAUUUGUCUUGGAUGAAAUGUGGUUAGAGUUUGUGUAUUGUUGAAUGUGAAUGGCAUUGGUUGCCAAUCCUAAUAUUUUUUGUUGAUUUUGGAUAGCCUAAAUCUGGAUAUGUUGGAGCAGGACUUCGUAAA